UCGGAUACAAUUGCAUUAAAAUAAAGUAUUGAGGUAGGUGUUGCUUGUUUUCUGUUCUAUUGCAUUAUUCGCACAUUUACUGAUUUCAGCAAGUCAAUAUGGCGGCUCCUUGGUUACAACAUGUCAACAGUGAAUUUGACGGUAGCUUACGAUAAAAAAUGUAAAUUUAAAAUUGCAAAUGUUGGGUUUACUGAGAAGUAAAAAAAGUAAUCACAUUUUUUUCUAGCGGUUAGUUAAGAAAUCAUUCAUGCAG
rnacentral:lncRNA from 1 species